rnacentral:rRNA from 1 species
AUGCUAAUACCGCAUACGCCCUACGGGGGAAAGCAGGGGAUCUUCGGACCUUGCGCUAAUAGAUGAGCCUAAGUCGGAUUAGCUAGUUGGUGGGGUAAAGGCCUACCAAGGCGACGAUCUGUAGCGGGUCUGAGAGGAUGAUCCGCCACACUGGGACUGAGACACGGCCCAGACUCCUACGGGAGGCAGCAGUGGGGAAUAUUGGACAAUGGGCGGAAGCCUGAUCCAGCCAUGCCGCGUGUGUGAAGAAGGCCUUUUGGUUGUAAAGCACUUUAAGCGAGGAGGAGGCUACUUAGAUUAAUACUCUAGGAUAGUGGACGUUACUCGCAGAAUAAGCACCGGCUAACUCUGUGCCAGCAGCCGCGGUAAUACAGAGGGUGCGAGCGUUAAUCGGAUUUACUGGGCGUAAAGCGUGCGUAGGCGGCUGAUUAAGUCGGAUGUGAAAUCCCUGAGCUUAACUUAGGAAUUGCAUUCGAUACUGGUCAGCUAGAGUAUGGGAG